AAAUUUAUCUGACACAAUUUUUGAAAAGAAUUUAAUAGCGUAGAGAGGAAGGGAGGAGUGGGGGAAAGACAACAAACAGGGUGGUGAAGGAGUUUAUAUCCUCGUCGAUAGAGAAUAUCGACGGAAGGACACGGCUAGCAACACGUGCAACCUUGUACUUUCAUGGCAUUAUCACGUAUACAUAUGUAUGUAUAUACUGGCAAUACUUGUAUUACGUGCUCGCGCGUCCGAGACGUGCGCAAUUGCUUCUGCGUCUAGCUAUGGUUGAAAAAACUCGAUAUGGUAAAAAGAAAAAAAAAA